rnacentral:lncRNA from 1 species
CCUUAGUAUUCAUCAUUUCAUAAUAGAUAGAAUAAAAGCAGAAAAUUUAAAACUUUUCAUUUGAAGUUGAACUUCACUUCAUAUAUUAAGAAAGAAACUAACUUGUCACACAUUCCAUCUAGACAUAAGAGUAUGAAAAUAGGGAUUUAGCCCUUACAUCAAUAACAAGCCUUAUAAUACGAAUUACAACAUAGUAUUUAAAUAAGGAAAGUAAAACUAGAAUUAGAAUCAAGCAUCUCCAUCCUCAGCCUUGGGGACUCACCUAUUGGGCAAUUCAAGUUUCUUCUAGAAGGACUAGAAUCACUUCAAUGGCCCAAACCUACACUUUGUGUAGAAAAUAUAAGAAAUAUGAGUUAGUACGAACCACAUGUACUAAGUAUGGAAACAUAUGCAAGUAAAACAUAUGAAACAUGCACAAAGGGACAUUUGGUUAUAAACAUGCUAUAUUUACUUGAAAAGGCCUUUAUGCACAUUCCAAGAACAUUAUACAAGUCCAUACCAUAACAACAAGGCAUAUCCAUACUCAUAAGUAACACCAUAAUCAAGCCAUAGUCAAAAUUUCAUAUUUUAAAGUCCAUUUCAUCUAUACAUCACAAGACCUUACUCAUAACCCCAAAUCAAGUCUACUAGUGCAAAGUGUAUUUUAAGACCCAUUACCCCACAUAAACUAAGUAAACUAACGAAGAGAUCACAAACAUUGUCUUUUACCUCAUACAUCAUCAUAACAAGUAUAGUAAACAACAUGUACACCAAAUAAAACCAACAUCGUGUGUAUCAAGUCACACCAAUAUCAUACAUAUCAUAUAUACAUAAAGAACCCGCCCUAAAAUUCCCCUGUAGUUCCACUUGUGCAAUGUAUAGGUAAAGUCCCAUACCCUUACCUACAACAAGUAACACCUCUUAAGUAGUCCUAGUUAGUGUUCAUCUUCUUAAUUUCAUUCAUUGAUUUUAACAUUCGAGAUAUUUCACCAUAACCGACAUACACCAUGUGAGUUGCAUGGAAUACGGUGUCAUCCCUCACACCGAAAGGAGGGUGAAUACUUUCCAAGGUAAGACAUAAACAUUCGUAUAACAUCUAGGAGGAUCCACUAGCUAAGGUUUCCUAUGGGUGGCACAAAGUUAAGGAACUAGGUGGUUGUUACCAGAAACCUUUUUUAUGCUAAUUAGCAUGGUAUUUUCCACCUUAUGAGAACAUCGGGUGAAUCUUUCUUCUUUUGGGAAAGAACACCUCUCAUUGUCAAGUUCACUCAGUGCUUAGUUAAAUUCCCUUUUUGAAGUGUCUUUAAGUCUUCCUUAAUAUUAAUGUAUAAUAAUAUAGGUCUUUGGAGUUUAACCCCUCAUAUAAUAUGUUCAUAGCUCAUAGAUUUUAAGAUGAGAAAGUUCUUUCAUCACAAAUCUAACAUCAUGUGAGAAAAUCACUUCAAAACAUAGUCUUAAGAAACACAUGGGAAUUACGUUGAACCCCUCAUAAUAGCACACCUAUCAUCAUCUCAGAACCAUCAUAUUCAUAGCAUGAUCAUACAUUCAUAAUUUCAUCAUUCAUACUUCAAGUAAUCAAUAUUAACAAGGAUAAACCAACAAUAAUACAAUAUCAUGUUCAUGACCUUGAAGGUCUAACCUUCCAAGAGUUUAUCCAAAACCCAUGAUAUUUAUCCAUCGAAUCAAUUAUCAUCACCAUAAAAUAGUCAAUUACAGAAGAACAUACUCAAUAACAUUACUCUAUUCAUUAAUCAACAUAAUUCAAGAGUUAGGGUUAAUAGAAGAGGGACAUUUGUUAAUAUUUAAGGAAUUAAGUUAAAACUAAACAAUACAUCAUAUAAGGCAAUUCAUAAAGUAAUAACACAAUUAACACCAAUAUAGACAAUUGAUAAAUUCAUCAUCCUCAAAAAAUUCACCAAUUCAAAUCCAAGAUUUAUGAAAUUAGGAAAGAAUAUGGGUCCAAGUGAAUUUAUACACCUAAACAACCUUAAGUAAUAAUAAUUGAUUCAUAAUUUCAUUUUUCAAAGAAGACCCGUGUGUAGAGAAAAACUAUAGAUUUGGGGGGAUUUUUAAAACAUAUUUGAAGGGACCUCUUGGGGAAAACAAUCCGAAGAGUGAAAGAAAACAUACGUUAAUGAAGACAUAGCCAUAAAAUUGUAAAACAUCUUUGAAGGGACCUCUUGGGAAAAGGAAUCCCAAGAGUGAAAGAAAACAUACCUUAAUGAAGACUUAUCCAUAAAAUUGAGUUGAAAUCUCUGAGAAUUGAUCCUCUUCUUGGAGCUUCAAGGUCCUUCAAUGGAGGUUUUGUGUAGAGAGAGAAUUGAGAGAGAAGGGAGAGUAUCUAUUUUUUUUAUUUCUAAUUGAGUAUUCUCUGU